CUUAAAGUAAUUAGUAUAACUCUAAUAUGGAUGAAAAUAUUUAAGAUCUAUAAUAAUAAUAAUUUAUAAUGAUGAUAUAAUGCUUCAUGAUAUGCGCAAUCAUGAUUACCACGCAUUUAAAACUUCCUUGGAUGGCUGAAAUUAAAUUUGCAUAUUUAUUUAGUUUUCUUUACCUGAAUAUUCAAUUAAUCUUCAUGUUUAUUUGAUUCGCAGAUGAUUUUUGACAGCCAGUUCCACUUAAACACCUAUUCAAAGAAGGUAUAAUCAGAUUAUAUGAAAUUUUCGGAACCACCAACAAUGUUGUUAAGUUUAAUAAACUUUUAAAAAAA
rnacentral:lncRNA from 1 species